rnacentral:rRNA from 1 species
GACGAACGCUGGCGGCGUGCUUAACACAUGCAAGUCGAACGGAAAGGCCCUGCUUUUGUGGGGUGCUCGAGUGGCGGACGGGUGAGUAACACGUGAGUAACCUGCCCUUGACUUUGGGAUAACUUCAGGAAACUGGGGCUAAUACCGGAUAGGAGCUCCUGCUGCAUGGUGGGGGUUGGAAAGUUUCGGCGGUUGGGGAUGGACUCGCGGCUUAUCAGCUUGUUGGUGGGGUAGUGGCUUACCAAGGCUUUGACGGGUAGCCGGCCUGAGAGGGUGACCGGCCACAUUGGGACUGAGAUACGGCCCAGGCUCCUACGGGAGGCAGCAGUGGGGAAUAUUGCACAAUGGGCGGAAGCCUGAUGCAGCAACGCCGCGUGCGGGAUGACGGCCUUCGGGUUGUAAACCGCUUUCGCCUGUGACGAAGCGUGAGUGACGGUAAUGGGUAAAGAAGCACCGGCUAACUACGUG